rnacentral:rRNA from 1 species
UACGAAGGGGGCUAGCGUUGCUCGGAAUUACUGGGCGUAAAGCGCACGUAGGCGGGUUGUUAAGUCAGGGGUGAAAUCCUGGAGCUCAACUCCAGAACUGCCUUUGAUACUGGCAACCUAGAGACUGGAAGAGGUUAGUGGAAUUCCCAGUGUAGAGGUGAAAUUCGUAGAUAUUGGGAAGAACACCAGUGGCGAAGGCGGCUAACUGGUCCAGUACUGACGCUGAGGUGCGAAAGCGUGGGGAGCAAACAGG